UAGCAAACAUUAUUCUAAAAGUAUCAUAAAUUUUGGAGAUGCAGGAGCUAGGAAGCAACCUAGGAAUUUAUUCUUCAUCACAGCUCUCCAUGUUAGCAUCCUCUUCCCCUGGCAGCUUGCAGUGAAUGAUGUAUUUCAGCUAAUUGCAUUUAGUUUCAUCCCCAUUAACGCAAUCCUCUGCAUUUCUAAGUGUCCUUUGACUCUUCAUACCAGCAGCUGCCUGUGUGUUUUACAGGUCCAAGUAUCACAGUCUGACUCAAUGGAGAAGGCAAACCUGAAGAAGAACCACUGGCCUCUGGCUGUUCACCAGUGGUGGUGAUGGUAGCUGUGGUGUAGGAGCCAAGAUCUUGUUCCUACACUGGCCACCAUGGAGGAAUAAAGCACCACGGUGGAGGCCUCUGCUGUACUUCUUCUCCAGGAAAAUCUUGAUGGCAACUCAGGAACCAGACCUAGUACUGGGUGCUUCAGCUGCCACAUCCAUGCUCAGCUGGGGAUGGGUGAGCUCCCCAUGCCCUGAGGACAGACAUGAUCUUCCACCUUUAGAGGCUUACCACCUGUAAAGUGAGCCUGCAUGGAGUGGUUUUUGCUUCUGUUAUUUGAGAGAGAACUGUGGGCAUUAAAAAAGACCAGGUGCUUCCCAGCAGAAAGCUGAAGGUCUGAAAUUCAUGUAGGGAAAUUCAAAACAUUUAGGGAGGAAAUUGAUCGGCAGUUUAACAAAAAAAAAAAAGCUCUACAGUGCCCCAAAGAAGGAUCUUAAUAAGAUAAAGGAAGGCUUAAAUCCCAAUAAGAGCCCCCGAGACGAUCCUGCUGCCUCCCUGACAGCUCUCUCGUGCCUGAUCCAUCUCCAUCACGACCUAGCACACACAUUCUCCAAGUACCUCGCUAUUUUAUAUAGUCAAACACUGCCUAAUUCACCUUCAUUUGCAUUUUGGAAGUCAAAAGGCUACAGACUGGGUGCAUAAUUCUGCCCUUAGAGGAAUAAAGCAGGGACAAGACGGGCAGUGCUGAAAUACUCCUCUGAGGGACACACAGGGAAAAUGCUGGCCCUGGUGAAGUUUUAUCCUCUGCUGGAGCCAGAAUGUGCUUUGAGGCAUGAACCACACGAGCUAUCUGAGAGCGGUGUCAUCACGUUCACCUUUAUUUUGGAGGAGGCUACAGAUUUUGCAGCCUGCGGGGAUGGCAGCUUGCUCGAGGCUCGAUCCUGCCAGCCCUGCUUACAGCGGGUGUUACCUUCCCUGCUUGUUCAUUCCCGCAGGAGCCCUGAUGGAGUGGGAUGCUCUUCAAGAUGAAGGUGUGCGUGGGGUGGGGGGAUCAGCCCUGGGUAGAAGAGUUUUAAUGUGAAAUAAGAUCAAACAUCACUGCCACACCUCUACCUCCAGCGGUUUCAGCCUACACAAGAAAGUGGAACGUGCAAAGGAGCAGAGGAUGAGUACUUGGGUUACUGCUGGGAGCAUUUGGGGAGGAAAGAGGAGA